rnacentral:rRNA from 1 species
UACGUAGGUCCCAAGCGUUAUCCGGAAUUACUGGGCGUAAAGCGUCUGUAGGCGGAUUCUUAAGUUUCGUAUGAAAGACCAGGGCUCAACCCUGUGUUUGUGCGAAAAACUGGGAGUCUAGAAUCAGGGAGAGGUAAGUAGAAUUGUAUGAGUAGGGGUGCAAUCCGUAGAUACAUACAAGAAUACCAAAAGCGAAGGCAACUUACUGGAACUGUAUUGACGCUGAGAGACGAAAGCGUGGGGAGCGAAAAGG